AUCACGUUUGCCCACAGACUCAGGUUCAGUUUUCUGAGUUGGUGCUCAUAAUCCUGUCAGUGGAUGCAGGUCUCUGUGGACACUUUCCCAUCGGCACAUUUUGGUUUACUGGUGUUUUUGUGAGUCCCCUCUCAUCAGAUGUACCGCUGGUGGUUCAGAACCAAUAGCUGUGCAGAAAUUGAUGGUCUUCUUGUGGUUCUAGUAAAGCUGGACCACCUCUGUCUGUUUUUCAGGAGUGGAUGGACACAGUGUUUCCUUUUCUCUUUUUCUGAAAGUGAAAGACCCACAGAGUCACCCUCACUGCUGGCUGAUUCAGUUUUUGUUCUGGAAAUUUUCGCAGUGAAAAGCAGCAGACCUGGUGUGUAUGCCGUUGUUUUACGGGAUCACAGAUGCAAUGAAAUCUGAGAAUAACUGUCUCAGGGCUUGUUAGAAUAAUGUGCAUAAAUGUAUAUAGAAGUUAUUCCUCAUAUUCUUAUGUAAGAGUUUAUACUACAAGUAUAAACUGCGUUGACAUCUUUUUAUGCAUUAUAUAAGAGUAUUUUUAUCAUAUAAGAGUGUUUCCUAACUUCUCUCUUCAAUAGCUUAACUACACAGUACACAAUGUUUCUUUCAGUUUUCUGUGACCGUGUUUUUUCCUAUCAGCAGGUGUGGGUGUGGGGGUGAAGUAUCCUCCGCUGUGAAUCAUGGAAAUUAGAGGAGGAGCCGCUCUUAUCAGAAGGAGUUCGUUAGAUGCCGCCUUGACCUUCACAUAUUCACAGUUGUUCAUUAUUAUGUUUUAUGAGAGUGCUUACUUUGCUACACAAAUUUUUCCCCACCCUUUAGAAACAUUGUGUGACCAG
rnacentral:lncRNA from 1 species